rnacentral:rRNA from 1 species
CACGCCGGCGGCAGGCCUAACACAUGCAAGUCGAGCGCCCCAGCGAUGGGGAGCGGCGGACGGGUGAGUAACGCGUGGGAACGUGCCUCUUGCUACGGAAUAGCCUCGGGAAACUGGGAGUAAUACCGUAUGUGCCCUACGGGGGAAAGAUUUAUCGGCAAGAGAUCGGCCCGCGUUGGAUUAGGUAGUUGGUGGGGUAAUGGCCUACCAAGCCGACGAUCCAUAGCUGGUUUGAGAGGAUGAUCAGCCACACUGGGACUGAGACACGGCCCAGACUCCUACGGGAGGCAGCAGUGGGGAAUCUUAGACAAUGGGCGCAAGCCUGAUCUAGCCAUGCCGCGUGAGCGAUGAAGGCCUUAGGGUUGUAAAGCUCUUUCAGUGGGGAAGAUAAUGACUGUACCCACAGAAGAAGCCCCGGCUAACUCCGUG